AUAUAUCGCCCAGCCCUAAUCCAGAUAUGCAAGGAUCACAAUUCUGAGGAGCAAUUUCAACCCUCUUCCCCUGAUGUAGGAGGUCAGUUUGGAACAGAUUAUCAAGUAGUUUAAGAAUGUCUGACAGAGGAGCAGCUCGGACUAAUAGAGGAAACAGGAGUGAUAGAAGG